CAGCCGGGAAGCGGGACGGUUAACGGCUCCUGUCUACAUGGCGGUGGCGGCGGCGCGAGCUUGGGCCCUGCGAGGGGGGCUGGCUCUAGCCCGGCGCGGACCUCGCGGAUUGGCGGGAUCCGUGGUCCCCCAGUACCCGCUGCACAGCACUGACCGGUCAGGCCCCAGGCCUCUAGCACUUGCCUCCACUUGUGUGAGCCUCGGAGGCAGCCAGAGGUCCGUGGGCGUUUGUGCAACUGGUUCUGCCAGCCAGGAAGGGCCCAGCCUGCGGCUCCCUGGGAAUGGUGUUCCUGCCACAUCUGGGCAUAACUGUGUUCUACUGUAGGGAAAUCAGCAGGGACAUACCCCAGCCCCUACUUGGCAGCCGGGAGAUCUUCUGAGGGGGUAGGGACGCCCUGCCCUGGGGUUUCUCAUCCUGCCACUGGGAGACUUUCCCUCCGCCUGUGGCUCCGGGCAGCAGGAAGCUCCCUUCCUGGAUGAGGCCUUGAGGCUUCCCUGCGCCUCUAGCUUGGAUAAACUGGACUUCAUUAAACCCAAUGUCAUUUCUGGCAUCCCCAUCUAUUUGCUGUGAUGGACUGCCAGGGUGAUCAUCAACGCUAAUAGGACCCCCAGGUGAGGCGCUCUUUUCACUCGCCCCUGUGCCCUUCUGCCUGCUCGGGGCCUAGGCCGCCCACCAUGCUCCCUUGUUUUUUUUUCCAGGGGCCACCCCAGGACGGUCCCAAGCUGUAUAAAAGCAUGACCCUUCUCAACACUAUAAUCAAUCUCUACGAGUCCUAGAGGUGGUGGGCCUGCAGACAGAAUGUCAGAACAGGGCUGAGGACACAGGUGGGGUGGGGUGGGGAUGAGAUAUCCCUGCCCUGCCUCGUGGCAGCCCUGGUGGGAGGGGUUCCCUGCCCAGCCCCUGGUGAGCUCCUGCGCCUGGGGCCAGUACAGUGCCCGUUGCUGAAAGCAUCAGGGAGCAUUGGGUUAGCAGGGCCAGAGGGGGAGGAUCCCGAGGGUUCUCUGUGGAGUCCAAGUACUUGGGGCCCCCUUUUCUUCCCCACCUCCAUGCAGGGCCGGAUCCCUGCUAAGGACCACCAAGGGAGGAAGGUACCACGUGGUAGCUGCUGGGCUGAUGAUUUAGAUUUGGUGUUUAAGGUACCGAGAGGUACGCCCUCUACCCCCUAGCCAGGCCCAGCCUUGGCCCUGGAGCUGGUACCGGGCCAUCCUGGUCCUUCCUUGGCCAAGGGUGCCAGAUGGGCAAGGGCAGCCAGGGGAAGCCCACACAGGCCCAGCACCAUUCUCUGUCUGAGAGGGAAGCCCAGACUGGGGGAGGGGGUGGGCAGCCAGGGCAGACUGCCCUCCCCAGACCACAGCCGCCUCCAAGGCCUCUCUCUCUGGUCCCUACUACACUGGGGCCCCGGCCCCACUCUGCUGGGCUUCUGUUGCUUGAGUUUCCAUGGCACGGCGGCCACCCCAGGGGAGGCCCUCCUUUUCUUUCCCAAACUGCAGCUUGCCUUGGGGAGAAGAGCUAUUGGGGGUAAGGGGGGUGGUUCUGAUCUCUCCACUUAUCCCUGGGCCCCCAUCACUGGGGUGGGGUAGGGGGUCUCUGAGAUGUCCCCAGGCAUUAAGCACCACCAGGGAGGCUACAGGCCCCUGACAGAUGGCCCCGGUGUUCAUGGGGCCCAGAGCUUCCUCCCCCACCCAGCACAGGCCGGCACCUUGGCCCUCACCUCCAGCCAUGGAGCUAUCCCAGAGCCUUGGGUCACACCCAGGACUUGCUGCUUCCAAGGCAGCGCCAGUAGCAAGAGGCAAAAGGCUAUGGGAGGAGGCGGCACUUCAGGGGAACCUCAGAGAGAAUUACGGGUUGGAGUCAGAGCUCAUCUCUAGGGGCUGAAAGGGGGUCAGACCAGCCCCGGCCCUUGGGUGUGGGAGAGACACAUGGGGUCCAGGGAAGAACCACAGGAGGGAGGGGCGCUGUUCUGGGGCACAGCGGGAGGGCACGCAGGG
rnacentral:lncRNA from 1 species